AUUGAACGCUGGCGGCAGGCCUAACACAUGCAAGUCGAACGAGUGGCGGACGGGUGAGUAAUGUCUGGGAAACUGCCUGAUGGAGGGGGAUAACUACAGGAAACGGUAGCUAAUACAGCAUACAAUCAGAGGGGCCCAGAUGGGAUUAGCUAUUUGGUGGGGGAACGGCUCACCAAGGCGACGAUCCCUAGAUGGUCUGAGAGGAUGACCGGCCACUCUGGAACUGAGACGCUGUCCAGACUCCUACGGGAGGCAGCAGUGGGGAAUAUUGAGCAAUUGGCGCAAGCCUAGUGCAGCCAUGCCGCGUGUAUGAAGAGGGCCUUCGAUUUGUAAAGUACUUUCAGCGGGGAGGCGUUACCCGCCGAAGAAGCACCGGCUAACUCCGUGCCAGCAGCCGCGGUAAUAC
rnacentral:rRNA from 1 species